rnacentral:rRNA from 1 species
GCAGAAUCCCGUGAACCAUCGAGUCUUUGAACGCAAGUUGCGCCCGAGGCCAUCCGGUCGAGGGCACGCCUGCCGGGCGUCACGCCUCCCGUCGCUCCCCACAGCCGUGCGGAUGCGGAGAUUGGCCCGCCGUGCUCCGUGCGCGGCGGGUCGAAGUGCCGGCCGUCGUCGGGCCUGGCGCGGCGAAUGGUGGACGAAUACAUCGUUGUUUGUGCCUACUCUCCGUGUCCUUGCCCUCAACAAUGCGACAUGUCGUCGUCGGACCCCUCACCAUGGACCCUUCCGGCUUCCGAAUAAGAAAGGAACCGUCCUCGGAACGCGACCCCAGGUCAGGCGGGGCUAC